rnacentral:siRNA from 1 species
UGCAUUUAAUGUGUGUCUCCUGAA